rnacentral:rRNA from 1 species
AAUGAACGUUGGCGGCGUGGAUUAGGCAUGCAAGUCGUGCGAGAAGUCUUUUGCUUGCAUUAGACGGAAAGCGGCGAAAGGGAGAGUAACGCGUGGGUACCUACCUCUAGGUUCGGGAUAGCUGCGGGAAACUGUGGGUAAUACCGAAUAACAUCUCCGGAUCAAAGGUGUGAUUCCGCCUGGAGACGGGCCCGCGUCCUAUUAGCUUGUUGGUGGGGUAAUGGCUUACCAAGGCAAUGAUGGGUAUCGGGCGUGAGAGCGUGACCCGACUCACUGGGACUGAGACACUGCCCAGACACCUACGGGUGGCUGCAGUCGAGAAUCUUCGGCAAUGGGCGCAAGCCUGACCGAGCGACGCCGCGUGCGGGAUGAAGGCCCUCGGGUUGUAAACCGCUGUCAGUUGGGAGGAAAUCACAUGGGGUUCUCUCCAUGUGUUGACCUAUCUUCAGAGGAAGGACGGGCUAAGUUCGUGCCAGCAGCCGCCGUAA